GCAGCGGUGGUGCGUGCGUGCUCCGUGGGAUAUGAUGUAACACGAAUCGCUCCCUAGAUUUCGUUUGCUGAAGUCCUGAGCUCAAAAUCCAACCAAAGCCACAGAUGCAGGGCAUGCAGGACAGAGAUGCUUGGUGGUUAACUCUCGUGCUACUGGACUGAAUUCUCUGUCAGGCACCCCUCACUCUGUGGAGAGGUUAGGUGAAUGACCCAAGAACAGGCUGGACUUGCCUGGAGCAGAGUAUUGUAAAGAAUACACGCUGGACAGCAGUUAAAGUUUUUGGCUUCACUUGUUAUAGUGGCUGUAUCCAUAAAUUCAUCUGCUGGAUGGGGAGCAGAGAGGGGUAAAGAGAGAGGGACACAGCCUACCCUCUUACUGAAUGAAGCUCUCAAGUCAGUGGAACCUGAGAAAAGAAGAUUGUAAGCACAAUGAAACAGCAACUUGGUAAACUGAAAAAUGUUUGCUAUUCAUGGAAUGUGCUUGCCAAGUUAAUAAUUAUCAAUCACGUUUCUGGCUGAUGAAACUUAAAAAUGGUAUGUUAGCAGUAUGAUAAGUUUAAAUGAGUCUUUUCUCCGGAGUCAGGUGUAUGAAUGGUAUUAUGUGCAUUCCUUUGUCUGAGUCUCUUGCAUUCAUAAUAAAAACAACCCCAUCACUGUACAGCAGCCCUCAAGUGUUUGUAUACCAGAUUGUGAGAUGAAGCUCAUAUACAGUAGCUCAUGGAUCUUAGGGUCACAACAAAUACAGUAAAAACAGAGAAAUUGUAACACUAGCUUACUCGCUUGGUCCAGAACAGAAUCCUUAACAAAACUCCUCUAAUAAAAACAAAAUUGAUCUUCCAGCUUGAAAAUAAGGCCAAUGAGAACAGGAAGAGUGUAACUGCAUAUAUACUGCAAUGGAAAACACCAACCUCAGGAACAGUUCAAGAGAAAAACCCCACUCUUAAAAAUAUUUGGCAAAAUAUGGGGAUGCAAUUCAAGGAGAAAAACACCAUAAUUUAUUGAUUCAUGUGAAGGUGCAUUUAAUUGUGUGCUUUCAAUGGAAGGCAGAAUGCUUUUUGUCAC